rnacentral:misc_RNA from 1 species
UUUGAGAGAAUAUGAGAGAUAUAGUAGCUAUGGAAGAGGAAAUAUGCAGACAAAAAAAGAAGUAAAAUAAUACUAUUUCCAUGUAAUUGCAGCAGAGGAAUAAUUAAGUAACGGCCGUUACCGUUACGUAAUGUUAAAGUAAUGACUAUUACUGUUAUGUAAUGGUAAAUAACGGCCAUGAGUUAUAUAAUGGUCAUGAUGGCAGUUGCACUUGCAACUCUAGAUUUGCCUGUAAAUAACAAUGUAUCAUGUAACGGGCCAUUGUAAAACCUAUAAAUAACAGUAGAAACCAUGGUAACCAUUUUAGUCUGUCAAUGUAUGACAAUACGUACUCUAGUCUUAAGGUAGGAGGAAAAGACCUUGUACUAAACCUUAGGGUUUCAAUUAAAUGGCAAUUGAAAGUUUAAGGGUAACUAUUCUAGAUUUCCAAUCUCCAAAAUUGAUUGUAUAUUUCCUUCUUAACGCUAUUAUUAUGAGGGAUUUUUCUUCACUAUUAUAUUAUCAUUGUAAUCUCUCUCUCUCUCUCCCGUCCUUUAUAUAUUUAAAGUAUUAAAAUGACAGAGAAAGAAAGUUGAUAUAGUGAGUUUAUGGAGAAGUGUGGCAUUAUACAUGUGAAUGCAUAUAUUUACAGUUCUUCUUCUUUUAUAUGCACAUCCAAUGCUCCCCAUCUCCUACUUAAGUUCAAGAAAGUGCUCUCUGAAUAAUUUACCUUGUUUUAGACAACAGGCCUGGAUAAAACAUAGAAUUUUUCUUUUUUUCAUGUUUUGGAGACAAUUGAAAUGUAGAGGGAUAGAACAGAUUGGAGAAAAGUAGCAAAAGAAGGAUUUAUGUGGUUUGGCUACAGAGAGCAUACAUCCACGGACACAAAACCUCAAAAGGACUACAUUUUUUUCACUUAUGUUGUGUGUCUUGCAUAGUACAUAGA